UAGAGCAACGUUCUUCUCGGCAAGACACAAAAUCGUAAUUCAAUUUCUCAACCUCUGAAUCUCAAAUCUCCGAUUCGAAAUCCGGCGAACAUGGUGAGAGAUAUUGAGGCUGAGAUUAUAGACGACCAAUGAUCAUGGUGAGAGAUAUUGAGGUUGAGAUUAGAGACGACCAAUGAUCAUGGUAGCGAAGCAUUCUUCGUCAAAGUCUCUGACUCUCCCCACGCCACUUACGUUCCGAUGAAAUCCAAAUACGGCAGUUUGUUUACAUUCGCGGUGGUCUACACAUUGAGAAAGGUUGCUCUGUUCCUGUAAUCCGUGGGUUGAAACCAGUCCCCAAGCGGAGGCUCUGUGUUGGAAACCCUAGUGAUCUUGAUUCUAGCGACUUGCUGGUUCCUUUCACCGUGGCCUCUGUUUCGCCGACGACGAAAAAGAAGAAUCUUGUUGAGAUGAGGAUGAGUUUGGAUUCCACGAGAAGGAGUUGUUGGGAUCAGAUUCCUCCGGUGAUUCAUCGCCGUGACGCCGCAUUGCUUCUUUCUUCACCACGUCUCAAACCCAAAUCGGGGGUUAGGGCCUUACUCUGCACCUAUCAAGAAAGCUGAGAAAGAGAUUUAAGGAACUCGCCAAGAAGUUCAACGAUCUAUGUGGUAUCAAGGAGUCUGAUACUGGUUUAGCUCGUCCCAGUCAAUGGGAUCUUGUAUUUGAUAAGCAAAUAAUGCAAGAGGAGCAACCUCUGCAGGUUGCGAGAUGCACAAAGAUAUAUACCUUGUCAAAUACGAGAUCAGUGUCAAUCAAAUUGCGAAGGAGUAUCCGGUGCUGUUGGUUCCUGAGGACAAAAGUGAAAAACCAUCUGUUGCAAUUAUUAAGAUGGAAGCAUGCUGUUUCUGGGUAUGUCUACUAAUCUGGACAUGUUAUUCCCGAGAUACAAAGUUGUGAUCUGUUGAGAAGACAAAACAGAUCCGUUUGAAGGAAUAUUUUGUUUCGAUUCUAAUCCUUGGGAAGCUUGUCUCCGCUUCAACGAGGUAUUUCUUUUUAUUUCUAGUUUUUUUUGUUUAUCUUUAAAACCCAAAAAUGAUCUAAUACAUAAAAAUACACAA